AUGGGGUUGGGGCUGAACUGGGUUUUCUUGGUUGUUCUGUUAAAAGGUGUCCAUUGUGAGGUGCAGCUGGUUGAGUCUGGUGGAGGAUUGGUGCAGCCUAAGGGGUCACUGAAACUCUCCUGUGCAGCCUCUGGAUUCACCUUCAGUGACUAUGCCAUGUACUGGGUCCGCCAGGAUCCAGGGAAAGGUCUCGAAUGGGUUUGUCGCAUAAGAACUAAAAGUAAUAAUUAUGCAACCUAUUAUGCUGAUUCUGGGAAAGACAGAUUCACCAUCUCCAGAGAUGAUUCCCAAAGCAUUCUCUACCUGCAAAUGAACAAUCUUAAAAUUGAGGACACAGCCACGUAUUACUGUACUAGGGACACAGUGAUGAGUCUUCAGUAUGAACUCAAGCAAGAAUCUUCUUACCAGAUACCCAUGACCAGCAGGAGGCACUCAGCACGGGCGGAGCCCAUGUCAUUUUAG